rnacentral:rRNA from 1 species
GAUGAACGCUGACAGAAUGCUUAACACAUGCAAGUCGAUUCGAUUUACCUUCGGGUAUUGAGGAUGGCGGACGGGUGAGUAACGCGUAAGGAACUUGCCUCUUGGUCUGGGACAACUGUUGGAAACGACAGCUAAUACCGGAUAUUAUGAGAUUCUCGCAUGGGAAACUUAUGAAAGCUAUAUGCGCCAAGAGAGAGCCUUGCGUUCCAUUAGCUAGUUGGUGGGGUAACGGCCCACCAAGGCGACGAUGGAUAGCCGGCCUGAGAGGGUGAACGGCCACAAGGGGACUGAGACACGGCCCUUACUCCUACGGGAGGCAGCAGUGGGGAAUAUUGGACAAUGGGCCACAAGCCUGAUCCAGCAAUUCUGUGUGCACGAUGAAGGUCUUCGGAUUGUAAAGUGCUUUCAGUUGGGAAGAAGAAAGUGACGGUACCAACAGAAGAAGCGACGGCUAAAUACGUGCCAGCAGCCGCGGUAAUACGUAUGUCGCAAGCGUUAUCCGGAUUUAUUGGGCGUAAAGCGCGUCUAGGCGGAAAAAUAAGUCUGAUGUUAAAAUGCGGGGCUCAACUCCGUAUUGCGUUGGAAACUGUUUUUCUAGAGUACUGGAGAGGUGGGCGGAACUACNAGUGUAGAGGUGAAAUUCNUAGAUAUUUGUAGGAAUGCCGAUGGAGAAGUCAGCUCACUGGACAGAUACUGACGCUAAAGCGCGAAAGCGUGGGGAGCAAACAGGAUUAGAUACCCUGGUAGUCCACGCCGUAAACNAUGAUCA